rnacentral:rRNA from 1 species
GAAGGGCAUCCUCUUGGGAUUAAAGGAGCGAUCCGGCUGCGGAUGGUCAUGCGGCGCAUUAGCUUGUUGGCGGGGUAACGGCCCACCAAGGCGACGAUGCGUAGGGGUUCUGAGAGGAAGGUCCCCCACACUGGUACUGAGACACGGACCAGACUCCUACAGGAGGCAGCAGUGAGGAAUAUUGGUCAAUGGCCGGGAGGCUGAACCAGCCAAGUCGCGUGAGGGAAGACGGCCCUACGGGUUGUAAACCUCUUUUGCCGGGGAGCAAAUGGCGGGACGCGUCCCGCGUCGAGAGUACCCGGAGAAAAAGCAUCGGCUAACUCCGUGCCAGCAGCCGCGGUAAUACGGAGGAUGCGAGCGUUAUCCGGAUUUAUUGGGUUUAAAGGGUGCGCAGGCGGGAUGUCAAGUCAGCGGUAAAAUCGGGAGGCUCAACCUCUCUCAGCCGUUGAAACUGGCGUUCUUGAGUGGGCGAGAAGUAUGCGGAAUGCGUGGUGUAGCGGUGAAAUGCAUAGAUAUCACGCAGAACCCCGAUUGCGAAGGCAGCAUACCGGCGCCCGACUGACGCUCAUGCACGAAAGCGUGGGUAUCGAACAGGAUUAGAUACCCUGGUAGUCCACGCAGUAAACGAUGAAUACUCGCUGUGCGGC